rnacentral:rRNA from 1 species
AUUUUCUAGGGAGCUGCCGGUGGAUAGAACCUAUAAAUUCUGUUUGUAAAACCUAUGUCUGAUUUAAAUAUUGUAAUGAUAUAAAAACUUUCAACAACGGAUCUCUAGGCUCUUGCAUCGAUGAAGAACGCAGUGAAAUGCGAUAAGUAAUGUGAAUUGCAGAAUCUCGUGAAUCAUCGAAUCUUUGAACGCACAUUGCGCUCUAUGGUAUUCCAUAGAGCAUGCCUGUCUGAGCGUCAGCUCCCUCACCCUCAAACCUUUAUAAAAAAAGGUUUGGAUAUUGAAAAGGUAAUUGAAUAAGUUACCUUUCAAAAAUAUAGAGGCAGUAUUAUUACAACCUACAUGAAAAUGUGAUAGUUAUAUUAUAUACCAUUUCUCUUAGGGAGUAUAUUACUUGCCUUAUUUAACCCACUGAAAGAAUCAAAUUCAUGGGUGACCUCAGAUCAGGUAGGGAUACCCGCUGAACUUAA